rnacentral:sRNA from 1 species
GGAGAAUAACUUAACUCCCAAGGCUUUUGUUUGUUUUGUCAUUAAGAUUACAGUUAAGUUUUAGCAAAUUCGGUGGAGUUUUCCUAUUAUAAUGGUAGCUUUAUUUAUGGAGCAUGCAUUGAUGUGAUAUAUCUAAUUUUUAAAAUUUUCAUAUUUAAAAUUUUCCUAUUUUUCCUUU